GUUUCUGCCACAUCAAUAAGUAGCAGCUCUUGUUAUAGAUUUCGAUCUGAUAAAAAUGUAACUUAUAAAAUUUAAAAAAAACCUUUCCUUGGGAAAGAAAAAAUAAAAAUAAAAACCAUAUCUAGUUUCAAUUAUAUUUUCCAAAAGAAAAAAGUGAGUUUAAAGUAACAGCCAGAACGUUGAAAAAGUGAAGGACGACUGGAGCUGGAGGAUCAGCCGUAGGCAGCAAGAUCAUUGAAAUUCAGGAAAUUAAUUCCUCAGUCACUUUCUAAAAAGUGAGAACAAAACCCUGUCGUUGCCGUCUUAAAGGGAGGUGAGAAGCAAGCACUGAAUGGAUUCCUGUACAGAAGCGCAGCUGCUGCAGCCGAGCCCCUCGGAGCCCUUAAUACCGUGAUGGCGAGCAGGAAAUAACGUCGCCGAGCCGUUUGACUUGACGGGUGUCAACAACAUAGCGGUCCGCUUGGAAUCUACCUACCCCUCAACUCGGUGGGCAUGGACUUACGUGACCUCGGCUUCUCCACCGCAAAUCAGCACGUUGGCUCCACAACCAGAUGCAAAUUAAUUGUCAAGACCAGGCCAGCAGAGGGCCACUGGGACCCGGAGCUAUGUACACCAGCUGGAGUCAGAUCAGGUAACCUUCUGAGGGGCAGGGUGGAGGCCAGGCCGGAAGUGCAAAGCCGCAGACCUCAGAUCUCCUUAAGGUAAGGCAACCAGAGAAAGAAUCCAAGAAUAAUCAUCAGGAAGAGAAGUUGCCAAGGAGACCGUGAAGGGACAAGCUGGGGGACAAAAGCCAAUUCAGUGGGGAUGGCCAGGGAACAAGUGGAAAGAAUCUGUGUCCUUGACAACAUUGAGCCACUGAAUUAACCAACUCCAAAACUGCCCCACCUCUGGAC
rnacentral:lncRNA from 1 species